rnacentral:lncRNA from 1 species
AACAAAGUAUGUCCCAAGGAUCCUUAUCCACUCCAUCAGAUUGACUUGCAAGUAGAUUCUACAACAGCGCACAAGCUUUUGAGCUUCCUAGACUCCUCAGAUUGACUCCCUCAUCUUGAACCAAUACUUAACCAUUCAUACGAGGUAUUGCCCGUUCAAUAGUUUGGUAAGUGAUGAUUAGAUUUUAUAUUAUAUAUUUUACCCUAUUCUUAGUAUAUUUUGGUAAAUAUUUUGGAAGAAUUUUGAUGCUUUGAAUUGUAUUUUCAAUAUAGGACUUUGGACUCCUCUGGAGCAAAACAGGACCAAAUGGACGAAUUUUGGAGUAAUUCCAGUCGGAGGACGUUCGUGAGUCACUUAGCUUGAUCGUAUCAAAAUUUGGGAUUUUUCCACCAAGCGGUUAUUUUCUGGCGAUAAAAUAAAGGAGCGAUGCACGGUAUUGGAAAAUAAAGUUUCUGGGCUUAAAUUGCAUUUUUGGAGCCUAAAAUGACCUCGGAUGGUUUCGUGACCUUCUGGAGAUGUGUUCGGAAUGUCCUAAUAUUUUAAAAAACCUAUCUUGGGCCGGAUUUGGAGGAGAUCUGAGGCUAAAACGUGGCUGAACAAGUACCUAGCAGUUUCCCCUAGUUUAAUUAGGGUUUUAUUUUCUAAGAUAUUUUAUUAUUUUUCUUAGUUUCCUAAUUGGAAUAAGAGACCUAUGUUUUAGGGUUUGUGGAUGGCUUAGCAAAUGUAUUGCUUUGCCGUUCUUAGUUUUGUUCUACGCUUUCUUUUAUGCAACUUUGGAGACAGAGAGAAUUGCUAGGGUUCUUGGAGAUUUUCUACUUUAAGGUGUUUUCAAUCCAUUUCUUAAUAAUAUUUUCUAUGAUUUUAAUUAUGAAUAUGCGUAACUAAUUCCUUUUGCUAGGGCGAAGCCUUGAGCCUUAGCAUAAAUAUCUGAUUUUUAUUUAAUUACUUAUGAUUGAUUGCAUGCAUACUUUAAAUUAUUAAUCACCGGGAUUAAAACUAUCUAAUUGUCUUAAUGCCUGAUCACCAUUUGGAUCUUUAGAAAAGUAAUUUGAUACAAUUUUGGUCGGAAGGUUCCCUGAAAUUGACGUUGGCUUCUUUUAAUUAAUAAUUGUAAUUUCACUUAAGAUGAACACCACGUCUUAAGGGUUGCAUGGUUUUUCAAAGGGUUUUCAUAAAGCAUAAUGAGUCUUUCAUGUUCAUAUUUGAUCCGAACGUCCGGAGGGGUUGCAUAUUAAACAUACGUUCUAUGUUGGAGGUUCCAAGUAGAACGUGAAUUAGGAAAAUCUAACCUUCAAAGUGGCAUGUGUAGAUCAUAAGUAAUUGGUAAAAGUUCAUAAGAUUGCUAGGUGAUGGUGGAACCCUUGUGCUUUCUUAAUUUGAUUUCUCCAAAACUAGUUCCUUUUCUUUCUGCUUUAAUAUUGCAGAUUAGUUUACUUUUAUUAAUUAAAUUCAUUUUUUAAUUUAAGUAGGUUAUAAAAUCAAUCAUCUCAAUUUCUGCUUUACAAUAAUUAAAUAGAAUUUGAUUUGUUUCGAAUUAUUUAAUAAUCCCUGUGGAGAAUGACCUUGCCCGUUUAUACUACAACAACCUUGUAAUUCUUGCAAGUAUUAUAGGAGGUUUUAGCCCGUUCACGUGUGUAGCAAAAUCCCUAUCAAUAAGCCCGAACCGAACCGAAACUUUUUAUAUGUAUUUAUUUUUUAAUUAUAGUUAAAAUUAAUCUUUCAUUCAUAUAUGUAUAUGUAUAUGUAUGUAUGUAUGUAUGUAUAUUAAUUAAACAUCGUUUUCCACCCGAAGAAACCAUAUAUAGCUCAAGGAAAGAUAUUAAGAAGAGAGAGAGAGGAUCUUUUCUUCUCUUUUUCUUCUGGUUGCAAGUAUUAUAGGAGGUUUUAGCCCGUUCACGUGUGUAGCAAAAUCCCUAUCAAUAAGCCCGAACCGAACCGAAACUUUUUAUAUGUAUUUAUUUUUUAAUUAUAGUUAAAAUUAAUCUUUCAUUCAUAUAUGUAUAUGUAUAUGUAUGUAUGUAUG